rnacentral:rRNA from 1 species
UGGGGAAUAUUGGACAAUGGGCGCAAGCCUGAUCCAGCAACGCCGCGUGGAGGAUGAAGGUCUUCGGAUCGUAAACUCCUGUCAGAGGGGACGAAGGUUUGGGGGUGAACAAUCUUCAAGCUUGACGGUACCCUCAGAGGAAGCCCCGGCUAACUCCGUGCCAGCAGCCGCGGUAAUACGGAGGGGGCGAGCGUUAUUCGGAAUUAUUGGGCGUAAAGGGCGCGUAGGCGGCUUGUUAAGUCAAAGGUGAAAUCCCUCGGCUCAACUGAGGAACUGCCUUUGAAACUAGCGAGCUUGAGGCCGGGAGGGGGUAGCGGAAUUCCCAGUGUAGCGGUGAAAUGCGUAGAUACUGGGAGGAACACCAGUGGCGAAGGCGGCUACCUGGACCGGUUCUGACGCUGAGGCGCGAAAGCGUGGGUAGCAAACAG